rnacentral:rRNA from 1 species
UACGAGGGGGGCAAGCGUUGUUCGGAAUUAUUGGGCGUAAAGGGCGCGUAGGCGGUUUGACAAGUCUGAUGUGAAAUCUAUGGGCUCAACCCAUAGCCUGCAUUAGAAACUGUCGGGCUUGAGUAUGGGAGAGGUGAGUGGAAUUUCCGGUGUAGCGGUGAAAUGCGUAGAUAUCGGAAGGAACACCUGUGGCGAAAGCGGCUCUCUGGGACGGUACUGACGCUGAGACGCGAAAGCGUGGGGAGCGAACAGG